UUCACUCGUCAUUUUGCAUCCAGGAGAAGGGAUAGAACAGGAAGUCCAGCAGCCAGUGUCAGAGCCUGGAGCAGCUCCUCUCCUUCCUGGGGUUGAGUUCCUUGGUUUUCUUGUUUCGCCUGUGCUACCCCACUGCGGUUCUUCUACCACACUGGGUUUAGCAUGAAUCAGGAGUUGAUGCAGCCAAGGACAGAGAAAAACAUCCAGAUUUGGGAACACAAUAACAGAUAUGAUUGUCCCCACUUCUACUGCCAAAAUUUUAAAGCUGUUAACUCCUCCUCAUCAGCUUACCUGACUACUUCCAAGCAAAAGAGAUAAAGAACUAUUACUAAUUGGUGAUACUAGAUCAAUGAAGAUUAUAAAUUAGGCCAGGUGCGG
rnacentral:lncRNA from 1 species